rnacentral:rRNA from 1 species
UACAGAGGUCUCAAGCGUUGUUCGGAUUCAUUGGGCGUAAAGGGUGCGUAGGCGGCGCGGUAAGUCGGGUGUGAAAUCUUGGAGCUUAACUCCGAAACUGCAUUCGAUACUGCCGUGGCUUGAGUCCGGUAGAGGAGCAGGGAAUUCCUGGUGUAGCGGUGAAAUGCGCAGAUAUCAGGAGGAACACCAGCGGCGAAGGCGCUGCUCUGGGCCGGUACUGACGCUGAGGAGCGAAAGCGUGGGGAGCGAACAGG